GUUAUCUUUCUCAUUGCCGAAUAUACAAAAGGAAAAGAAGAAAAAAAUAGCAAGCUAGGUUCGGCACUUAUUUUGCUUGAUUAAGAUCGAGAACCAAAGAAAUCGGAGUUAGAUCGAGGAAAAGCCAAAUUAAUCGAAUAAUCGUCCGACUUCGAUUUUCCAUCUUUCGAGAUUUUAGAGACGCGUUACGAGCUCAGGGAUCAUCAGCAUAGUCUAUCACACUAUCGACUACUUUUGGUAUUUUGUUAAAUAUUUGAACUCAAUCUUAUGGCAUGUAUAGGUUUGAGUACGAUGUUGAUUAUAUUUUGAUUGUAAAUUAUAAAUAGCUAUGCAAAAGUAAUUUAAUUUUCA